rnacentral:rRNA from 1 species
GAUGAACGCUGGCGGUCUGCUUAACACAUGCAAGUCGAACGGAAUCCUUAGGGAUUUAGUGGCGGACGGGUGAGUAACACGUAAGAACCUGCCUCUAGGACGGGGACAACAGUUGGAAACGACUGCUAAACCCGGAUGAGCCGAAAGGUAAAAGAUUUAUCGCCUAGAGAGGGGCUUGCGUCUGAUUAGCUAGUUGGUAAGGUAAAGGCUUACCAAGGCGACGAUCAGUAGCUGGUCUGAGAGGAUGAUCAGCCACACUGGGACUGAGGCACGGCCCAGCCUCCUACGGGAGUCAGUAGUGGGGAAUUUUCCGCAAUGUGCGAAAGCCUGACGGAGCAAGACCGCGUGGGGGAGGAAGGUUCUUGGAUUGUCAACCCCUUUUCUCAUGGAAGAACGCAAUGACGUUACCUUAGGAAAAAGCAUCGGCUAACUCCGUGCCAGCAGCCGCCGUAACAC